rnacentral:lncRNA from 1 species
UCCCCUCAACUUUUGAAAAAUACCCAUCGCUUUGGCACAAAAUGAUGUUUUUCUAUUUGCAAUCCCUUACUUCUUUCCAAUAAUGAAAAAGUAAACGACACCCUAAAAAACUACAGUAACACACUAAUCCAGCAGCUUUGAUUUUCUCAAUGAUACUAUUUGCCUCCUCUUUUUUGACCUGUUGCUCAAGUAUAACUGGCACUUUCUCGACCAAUUCUUUAGCCUCCUUCAGUCCCAGAUCUGUGAAUGCAUGAACCUCUUUGAUUACCUUGAUUUUUACAGCCGCUUCAAAUUACAGCCCCA